UUUUUUAUAGACAAAAUGAAUAAACUAAAAUUAAAAUAAUUUUUUCAAAUGAUUAUAAAUGAUCAACACAUUUCAUCUAAAUCGAUAUGGACGAUUCCUAAAGUUGAUUAUGAUUACUAUAUGGAUUGUAUGGAGUUCUAAAAUAAAAAAAAAAAACAGCAACUAUAUGUGGACAUGGAUGGAUAACCAUGUGGACAAGUUAUAUGUGGCGACUGUAAACAAGAUCACAAUUGUCUUGGAAUUGCUAUUAAGGAACUAAAUAAUCAAUAAAGUUAAAGUGGAUUUUCAAAGACAUUUGAUUAAUUUACCAGCUCAAAAAGACUGCAUAAUAUGCUUUGACACAUUAAAAGCUUUUCAUACUUUAGCUGUUUUGAAUUAAAAAAGGGCAAUACGAAGAAAAUUUACCUGAGAUUUGGGAAAAAACUAGAAAAAUCUUUGAUCGAAAGGAUGAUGAAAUGGAACAUAAUUCUUAUUGGUAUGUAACAGAAAUGGAGUUACAAUAAUUUUAUAAUCAAGAAAAAUUGUAAACAGUAGAUAUAAAGCAUAUACAUUCUACAAAUAGUAGAUUUGUACAAUACCAUCGAUUAGCUAUAUUUUAUUUAAAUCAA
rnacentral:misc_RNA from 1 species